rnacentral:lncRNA from 10 species
GUGUGCACCACCACACCAGGCUAAUUUUUGUAUUUUUAGUAGAGAUGGGGUUUUGCCAUGUGGGCCAGACUGGUCUCAAAACUCGUGACCUCAGAUGAUCCACCCACCAUGGCCUCCCAAAAUGCUGGGAUUACCAGUAUCAUGAAAUGCAGGUGAGCCACCGCACCCAGCCAUCUCUCUUUUUACUACUCAGCAACCUUGGCACACGCCACCAUGCCUGAAGAAUUGUUUUAAGUCAUUUUUUGCAGAGAUGGGUGGGGUCUAGCUAUGUUUCCCAGGCUGGUUUCCAAGUCUUGGCCUCCAGUGAUCCUUCCACCUCAGCCUCCCAAAGUGCUGGGAUUACAGGCAUGAACCACCAUAACCAGACAGGUAUUUGCUGCUCAGAAUUGGCAAAUAGAGGAAUAAACUCUGUUACCAAAUUCCUUAAUUUCAGGAGAACCCAUGAAAGGAGUAUCAUCCAAUCAGGUCAACUCUCUUUGGUUUCCUAAUGUCUAAACAUUUCACAAUUUAUGGAAUUAUGAAAGGAUCCAGCUCCCCAGAGGAUGUGAGCACAUCUGAACACAAUUAUGCACUGCAGCCAGACAACUGUUAGCUUUCUGGGGCAAAAGACACAGAGAAAGACCAGGAUAAUCCUUGUGCGUGCAGCUCAGAUUUGGCCCCUGUCGCCACACGCUGCCAAGCCUGUCACAUUCUGGCAAUAAGGAGCAAUGCUUGGAUGGGGACCAGGACCAUGCUGACAUCUGACCACCUCUGCAGUCUGGGCGAAUUCCAAGAAAUCCCUCAGAAGAAAGUGCCAUGCAGAAAUAUCCUGGCGGGGGAACUGCCCACACAGCUGUGCCAGUUAUUCACCCUCGCCAGAUUCUUCAUGCUCUUUCCCACUUCAAGGCCCUUGCAUUAGCUGUUCUCCCUGACCAUGCACUUGACUCUCAAGAACAUUUAGCCUCCCCCAAGACUCCAUCUUCAGGCCUCCUUCCCUCACCAUCUCCAAGGCUGCGGCUCCAGGACACAAGCUGACCACCCUGCCCAACCCGAAGUCCUCGACUGAUGCUCAGCGCUUAUAGGUUCAAGUCCAGGCUCCCUAGCAUAGCACUGAAGUCAUGGCUCAGUUUACCCUUCCAAGCCUGUCUCCCCCAAGUCCUGCCCUCCUCCUCUCAUCACUGCCAAGUACAUCAAGCACUCCCACGUGGCUGGGCUUUAACCCAAGCUGCUCUCUCUUCCCAGAAGGCUCUUCUCUGACUUGCUGCCAAAACACAAAGUCGCUUGGAGGUGAAGGCAAAUAUUAGUUCAGCUGGCAAGCUCCUCUCCACGUCCUCAUCAAAGCCCCCAGCUCCAUGAGCUUCUGGGCUGUUCCUGUGGAUUUCUGCACUCUCUGUGUUGAAACAUCUGUAAUGGGUUAUAGCUGGGAGUUGGAAUGUCUGCCUCCCUUUUCGCUGAGAAGAAGGGGGUCUUUACAGGAUCGAACGCUCCCUGGGUUCUGUCUCCUUCCUUUCAAUAUAGUGAGCAGUUCCUCCCACCUAGUGGGUUCUCCUUAGAUGUCUGGGAGGUCAUCUAUCCAGUGCUGGCUGUUGCAGAUCUGUGCAGUUGCUUUUUGAACAGGACCCACAUCCGUCUUCCAAAAUAUCUAAAAUUAGGUCUUUGACAGUUCCUGAAAAUGUUAGUUAUCAUAUAAUCCAGCAACUCCACUCCAAGGUAUAUAGCCAAAAGAAUUGAAAUCAUAUUCCACACAAAAAUGUAUACCUGAAUGCUCAUAGCAGCAUUAUUCACAAUAGCCAAGAAAUGGAAACCACCCAAAUGUCCAUCAACCCACAAAGGCAUAAGUGAACUGUGAUAUACCCAUACGACAGAAUACCGUUUGGCUAUAAAAGGAGGGACCGAUUCGUGCUACAAUGCGGAUGGGCCUUGAAAACAUGCUAAGUGCAAGACGCCAGUUACAAAAGAUCACAUAUUAUGUGAUUUCAUUCAUGUGAAAUGUCCAGAAAUAGUCAAAUUUAUAGAGAAAGAAAGCAGAUUAGUGGUCGCCAGGAGCUGGGGCAAAGGAGGGCGUGAGCGUGAUUGUGAAUAGGUAUGGCUUUUUAGAGAGGAAAGGGGGUUGUGGUCAUGGUCGCACAGCAUGUGACUCAUGGAGUUUGUGCCCUUGAGAGGAGGGACUGCUGUGGCAUGUGAGUUACAUAUAAUUAGGCCUUCAGUGCUGCCAGCAUUCUCAUCCUUGGAGGGCCAGGUAUCUUUUCUGUUGUUUUGUUUUGUUUUGUUUUAUGAGAUGGAGUCUCACUGUCACCCAGGCUGGAGUGCAAUGGUGAGAUCUCCGCUCACUGCAAUCUCCAUCUCCCAGGUUCAUGCGAUUCUCCUGCCUCAGCCUCCCAAGUAGCUGGGACCACAGGCACCUGCCACCACGCCCAGCUAUUUUUUUUUUUUUUUUGGUAUUUUUAGUACAGACGGGGUUUCACCAUGUUGGCCAGGGUGGUCUCGAUUUCCCGACCUCGUGAUCUGCCCGCCUCAGCCUCCCAAAGUGCUGGGCUUACAGGCGUUAGCCACCGCGCCCCACCGUAUCUUUUCGGUUCUAAGCACAAGACAAUUGUCUUGGGAACACCUCCCGGCUCUUGGCCUCAGUAUGUUUUCUUUAGCCCUACGUUUCCCCUUUGCUCUCUCCCCGCGUGUGAUGGGGGCUGCCUGGGUGGGGCUGUCACAGCGGCAGGUGGGUGAGGAGCCCCUAGGCGCGUCCGGAGGAAGGCUCACCCGGAGGCCGCCUGCAGGCGGCCAGGUGCCAGCCACUGCGGGCCUCUGGGGCCGAAGCCGGCGGAUGGUGAGACGCUGGUUGGUCUGCAACACUGCCCAGACCCCGGGCACUCAUGUCUAGAAAAAAGCUGACUCGUGACACCAAAGGAGCUCUUUCAAGCUUCCUGCACGCUCUUAGCGCCAGAGCACCCCAGCCGUCCUGGGAGCCCCCGAAGCCAAGCAUAUUCGAACUCCGAAUCCGCUCGAUCGCCGGGGACCUGCCAUCUGGGUUCGGUUCCCCAAGGUCGCUGCCGACCUUAGACCGCGGGGGUGUGGGGCGCCGGGGAAGGAGACAGAAGGACAGGCGCCGCCCAGGGCCGCGGGGACACUUGGGGCUGCGUCCUGGGUGGGCGCGAUGCUCCCCCAGAACGACUGGAGAUGGAGAGUGUCGGGGAGGGAAACGGGACCCACGAAUUCAGGGCGCUGAGUCGGCGGAAUGCGCCCUGACUCCCCCUGGCCGAGAGCCGGCUCAGAAUGAAAGAGCGCGGAGUGGGAGGUCUGGGAAAUGGCAGUAUUUGUAUUAGGGAGAGAAGGAAACAGGAGUGGGAGCCGCACGGCUUGGGGAACGCGGGAGAUCGCGGAUUGCGGGGAUAGCGCAGCGCGGCUGCCCGGGGCUGCUGGGAGGGGCCGGACGAGGCCAGGGCGAGCGGGGUAACUGCGGCCGGCCGGACGGCGGCGGUAACCGGCUGCACCGAGGUGGUUCCACCACCGCGCUGGGCGCUUGCGGUUCGUCUGCUCCAACGAAAGCCGCGUCCCACGCUCCCUGCCGCCGCGUGGUUUUGCCUCCUCAGAGGGGCAGCGGCGACCCAGGGGCUGGCGGUGGAUGUCAGGAGUGCGCUUUCCUUCUAGGCCUUCUCCCUCAUGACUGGUUUUGUUUUUAGAUUACAAAAAUAACUUAUAUUAUUUAAUUAAAAAUACAUAAAAUAUAUUGUGAUAGCGCAGAAUAAUGGCCCUCCAAGAAUGUCCACGGCCUAAUGUCUAGAAACUGUUAUAUGGCAAAAUAAAUACAUAAAUAAGGUGGAAGGCCUUUGCAGAUGUGAUCAAGCUAAGGAUUUUUUUAUUUUUAUUUGAUAUUGAUUGAUUGAUUGAUUGAGACAGUCUUCCUCUGUCUCCCAGGCUGAAGUGCAGUGGCGCGAUCCCGGCUCACUGUAACCUCCGCCUCCUGGGUUCAAGCGAUUUUCCUGCCUCAGCCUCCCGAGUAGCUGGGAUUACAGGCUCCUGCCAUCACGCCUGGCUAAUUCUCGUAUUUUAGUAGAGACAGGGGUUUCACCAUGUUGACCAGGCUGAUCUCGAAUUCCUGACCUCAAGUGAUCCGUCUGCCUUGGCUUCCCAAAGUGCUGGGAUGACAGAUGUGAGCCACAGCGCCUGGCAAACUAAGGAUUUUUAGACCGGGGAUUACCCUGGAUUAUCCAGGUGGAUACAAUGUCCAGUGAUCACAGGGGUCCUAGAAGAGGGAGGCAGGGGAGGCAGAGGAGAAGUGAGGGCAGAAGGAGAGGUCAGAGGGAUGUGUUUGCUUCGAGGAUCAAAGAAGGGGAGCACCGGCCAAGGGAUGCGGGCAGCUUCUAGAAGGUGGGAAAGGCAAGGAUAUGGAUUCUCCCUGAGCCUCCAGAAGGAACCCAGUUCUGCAGACACUUUGAUGUUAGCCCAGUGUGACCCUAUGCAUACUUCUGACCUCCAGAACUGUGCAAGAAUAAUCUGUGUUGUUUUAGGCCCCUCAAUCUGUGGCGAUUUGUUAUAGGAGUCCUAGGAAAUACCUGAACACAAACAUUUAAAACAUAAAGAAGUCACCUGUAAUCCACUUCCCAGAAUGAACUCAUUCAGCAGCCUGAGGAGCAGGGCUGACUGAUGAAAACACUUGAAAGGAGGAAGUGCCGUCUUGCUAAGGCUGGUGUGUUCAGAAGAGGACACCGUGAAUGAUUCUCCUGACUAAGAUGGUCCACUAAAAGGAACCAGGGCUCCGUGGAGAAAUGGCGACUUCUGGGAUUAAGGCUGGAGAGGAAUAAGAUGAACCCAGAAUAUAUUAUUCUGGCAGACAGUGAGGAAGUACCCAGAGAAUGGUAGGAACUCAUCCAAAGGACAAAAGCUUGAAGGGGCUCUCAUUGGGCAAAUCUGGAAUCUUUUGAGUAACAAUCAUGUUAGUAUUGAAUUGUAACUCUUUUUUUUUUCUUUUUGUAGCUGGGAUUACAGAUGCCUGCCACUAUGCCUGGCUGAUUUUUGUAUUUUUAAUAGAGAUGGGGUUUUGCCAUGUCGGCCAGGCUGGUCUUGAACUCCUGGUCUCAAGUGAUUGGCUCACCUCGGCUUCCCAAAGUGCUGAGAUUACCGGUGUGAGCUACCACACCCGGCCUAUAACUCUUCUUACUUUAUUAUAAGCACAGUCUAAGAAUCCACUAGUACCUACAGGUACAGUAAUAUAAAUGAAAAAGUAAAGAGGGAGAAGAAAACUCUUUCUUAUCAACUAAUAAACGCAGAAAGAUAAUGGAAUAAGAAAAUACCGCUUGGAACUACCAUAGUAAUGAUUAUGUCAGGGAGAAUCAUCAGUGAAUGCUAAAUUGUGAGAAAAGUUUGAGAAACAGGAUUUGUAUAUGGUCUCAAACUAUCGCUGCACGAGGGAGAUUCCCAGUAAUGACCGAGGGGAAAACAGUCACUUUACUGUGGGGAAACCUGACAAACCUUAUUCAAGCGAUCAAAGUUAACAUCACCAGCAAUGGGACAAAUAGGCAACACGUGCCUCUGGUGUGCUGCAGCAGGCCUCCAUGAUGCAAUAGCCCUUCAUGGUGCUCGUGCUGGCCGUGCAGAACCUGCAUUCAAUUGUGAGGAAAUACCAACACAUCAAACAGAGGGACAUUUUCUAAAACACUGGCUUCUGCCCUACAAAAAUGUCAAUGUCAUUUUUGACAAAGACUGAGGAACUGUUUCUUACUGAAGAGGACUAAAGAGGCCUGACAACUAAGUGCAGUGUGGAUUCUGAAUAGUGGGCCAGAUGAAAAAUGUUUGUUUGUUUGUUGGUUUGUUUUAAUUAUAAAGGAAGUGAAUCAUACUAAGGCAUAGAUGAACCUUGAGGACACUGUGUGCGAUGAAAUAAUCCAGACACGCCAGGCGCGGUGGCUCGUGCCUGUAAUCACAGACAGCACUUUCGGAGGCUGAGGCAGGCAGAUUGCUUGAGCUCAGGAGUUCCAGACCAGUUUGGGAAACAUGGUGAAAUCCCACCUAUGCAAAAAUUAGCUGGGCAUGGUGUCCCAAGCUUGCAGUCCCAGCUACUUAGGGGAGGUGGAGGCCGCAGUGAGCUGUGAUCAGGCCUCUGCACUCCAGCCUGGGUGACAAAGAGAGACCCUUUCUCAAAAAAAAAAAAAAAGUCCAGGCACGGUGGCUCAUGCUUGUAAUCCCAGCACUUUGAUAGGCCGAGGCGGGUGGAUCGCCUGAGGUCAGGAGUUCUAGACCAGCCUGGCCAACAUGGUGAAACCCCGUCUCUACUAAAAAUAUAAAAAUUAGCCGGGAUUGGUGGUGGGCACCUGUAAUCUCAGCUACUUGGGAGGCUGAGGCAUGAGAAUCACUUGAACCCAGGAGACGGACGUUGCAGUGAGCCAAGAUCACACCACUGCACUCCAGCCUGGGCGACAAAGUGAGACUCUGUCUCAAAAAGAAAAACAAAACAAAACAAAAAGUAGAAAAAAAGAGAAAUAAUCCAGUCACAAAAUGACAAAUUAUCGUGUCAUUCCACUUAUAUGAAGUACCAAGAAUAGUCAAAUUUAUAGAGACAAAAAGUAGAUGGAGGGUUACCAGGAGCUUGGAGGAGGGGAAAUGGGGACUUCGUGUUUAAUGUGUUCAGAGUUUCCGUUUGGGGUAACGGGAGAUGGAUAAUUGUGAUGGCUGCAUAGCACUGUGAAUGUAAUCAAUGCCAUAAGUUGUACUUUUAAUGGUUAAAGUGGUAAAUCUUACACAUAUUUUACUAUAAUAAAAAUAAUUUCUGAAAAAAAGUCUUCAACUUUCAAAUAAAUGGGUAGACAAUUGACAACAUUUACAUAAGGUCUGUAGAUUAUAUAAUAAUGGUAUGUCAAGAUUAAUUUCCUCAUCCUGAUAAAUGUACUGUGGUUAUGUAAGAAAAUGUCAGCUGGUCCAAAGGUAGUGAGUUAUCUCAAUUGAUUGUUCCCAGACAGUUACAGAUCAAACUCCUUCUACUCUUUCCCCGCUUCUCACCACUGCACUUGACUAGUUUUAAGAUAAAUAAAAUGUCUGUGUGUGUGUGUCUGUGUGUAUGUAUGUGUAAGAAAUAUACAUUGGGGCCGGGCAUGGUGGCUUACGCCUAUAAUCCCAACAGUUUGGAAGGCCAAGGCGGGUGAAUCACCUGAGGUCAGGAGUUCGAGACCAGCCUGGCCAACAUGGUGAAACCCCGUCUCUACUAAAAAUGCAAAAAUUAGCUGGGUGUGGUGGCGCAUGCCUAUAACCCCAGCUACUCUGGAGGCUGA